GAUUGAGUUUGAUCCUGGCUCAGAUUGAACGCUGGCGGCAGGCCUAACACAUGCAAGUCGAGCGGUAGAGAGAAGCUUGCUUCUCUUGAGAGCGGCGGACGGGUGAGUAAUGCCUAGGAAUCUGCCUAGUGGUGGGGGAUAACGUUCGGAAACGGACGCUAAUACCGCAUACGUCCUACGGGAGAAAGCGGGGGACCUUCGGGCCUCGCGCCAUUAGAUGAGCCUAGGUCGGAUUAGCUAGUUGGUGAGGUAAUGGCUCACCAAGGCGACGAUCCGUAACUGGUCUGAGAGGAUGAUCAGUCACACUGGAACUGAGACACGGUCCAGACUCCUACGGGAGGCAGCAGUGGGGAAUAUUGGACAAUGGGCGAAAGCCUGAUCCAGCCAUGCCGCGUGUGUGAAGAAGGUCUUCGGAUUGUAAAGCACUUUAAGUUGGGAGGAAGGGUAGUAACUUAAUACGUUACUACUUUGACGUUACCGACAGAAUAAGCACCGGCUAACUUCGUGCCAGCAGCCGCGGUAAUACGAAGGGUGCAAGCGUUAAUCGGAAUUACUGGGCGUAAAGCGCGCGUAGGUGGUUCAGUAAGUUGGAAGUGAAAUCCCCGGGCUCAACCUGGGAACUGCUUUCAAAACUGCUGAGCUAGAGUACGGUAGAGGGUGGUGGAAUUUCCUGUGUAGCGGUGAAAUGCGUAGAUAUAGGAAGGAACACCAGUGGCGAAGGCGACCACCUGGACUGAUACUGACACUGAGGUGCGAAAGCGUGGGGAGCAAACAGGAUUAGAUA
rnacentral:rRNA from 1 species